UACGGAGGGUGCGAGCGUUGUCCGGAAUCACUGGGCGUAAAGGGCGCGUAGGCGGCCUGGCAAGUCGAUGGUGAAAGCCCGAGGCUCAACUUCGGGUCGGCCACUGAUACUGCUGGGCUUGAGUAUGGGAGAGGUGAGUGGAAUUCCUGGUGUAGCGGUGAAAUGCGUAGAUAUCGGGAGGAACACCAGUGGCGAAGGCGGCUUUCUGGCCUGUUCUUGACGCUGAGGCGCGAAAGCUAGGGGAGCAAACGGG
rnacentral:rRNA from 1 species